GGGAAAAACGUUGACUUUUGUUUCAACCUACCAGCCACCGAGUCUUCCAUUCUCCCUGUGUUCCGUUACUGUGGAAGUCAAUGGAUUCCUGUCACCAACAACCAGAAAGGAAUUUACACUGAUUACUUCACAGUGUAUUUUCAAGAACCGGCCCAUCAGGACAGCCCUGCAUUUACGUGCUUCUUCUUAUGCAUGAGAGAAGGGCACAUGCACUGGAAGAAGGCCCUUUUGUAGGUAUUACCAUUUAAAAACUUAGCAGAAUAGAAAGGAAGAAAAUUCUACCCCAGUAUCAUCAUUAUUCAUGCUUCCUUCAAUAGUAAGUUCAAACAUUUAAAAUG
rnacentral:lncRNA from 1 species